AACGUAGGAGACAAACGUUAUCCGGAGUUACUGGGCGUAAAGGGCGUGUAGGCGGUUAGUUAAGUCUGGCGUGAAAGCUCUCGGCUAAACCGGGAGAGGUCGUCGGAUGCUGGCAAACUAGAGGACGGUAGAGGCGUGUGGAAUUCCGGGUGUAGUGGUGAAAUGCGUAGAGAUCCGGAGGAACACCAGUGGCGAAGGCGACACGCUGGGCCGUACCUGACGCUAAAGCGCGACAGCAUGGGGAGCGAACGGG
rnacentral:rRNA from 1 species